CGCAUCCCUCAACUCGGACUGGGAGGCAGCAGGUGACAGCUUGGGUCGCACCAACCUGCAUUGAGACCUGGAUUGGGCUCCUGACUCCAGAUUCCUGGCUUCCGCCUGGCUCAGCCCCAGCUGCUGUGGGCACUUGGAGAAAUAAACGCAAACUGGCUUCUCCCAAGACAACCACCAUCACCAGCUUAUACUCUCCUCCUGAAGACAGCCCACGUUGGAAGUGCACUCCUGCAAACAUGGUUUUCCAUCCCCUUUUCACUCAUACUGAGGACUGCUCCAUCAACGCACUGCAAGUUGCCGCGCUCUCCCUGCGGGGAGGCCUCAUGGCUGUUCUCCAGAACCCUAGGGCUCCGGCACUGUUUUGCUGCGGUGAACAAUGCUGGAAGGAACACCCCAGCACACACAGCACUUCACGUCAUCACCAGUUCUGGAGGAUGAACACCCAGCAGUGGAGUCGUCACGUCCGAGGUGCACCUGACACAGCCCGUUCUGGAGGGCUCACUUCCAUGUACACCUGCCAGGUACUCGCCAAGCUGGGAUUCUAUUUCCCCAUGAGUAAGGGUAAGAGUCUCAUGUGUUAGUCACUAACUUACGCUUCUCUGGAGCUAUUUCUACCAUUAGCCUAUUUUAAAAAUGAACCUUUUUUCCUUAACUGCCAA